CUGAUGCGCCAUGCCGCGUGUAUGAAGAAGGCCUUCGGGUUGUAAAGUACUUUCAGUUGUGAGGAAGGGGGUGUCGUUAAUAGCGGCAUCUCUUGACGUUAGCAACAGAAGAAGCACCGGCUAACUCCGUGCCAGCAGCCGCGGUAAUACGGAGGGUGCGAGCGUUAAUCGGAAUUACUGGGCGUAAAGCGCAUGCAGGUGGUUCAUUAAGUCAGAUGUGAAAGCCCGGGGCUCAACCUCGGAACUGCAUUUGAAACUGGUGAACUAGAGUACUGUAGAGGGGGGUAGAAUUUCAGGUGUAGCGGUGAAAUGCGUAGAGAUCUGAAGGAAUACCAGUGGCGAAGGCGGCCCCCUGGACAGAUACUGACACUCAGAUGCGAAAGCGUGGGGAGCAAACAGGAUUAGAUACCCUGGUAGUCCACGCCGUAAACGAUGUCUACUUGGAGGUUGUGGCCUUGAGCCGUGGCUUUCGGAGCUAACGCGUUAAGUAGACCGCCUGGGGAGUACGGUCGCAAGAUUAAAACUCAAAUGAAUUGACGGGGGCCCGCACAAGCGGUGGAGCAUGUGGUUUAAUUCGAUGCAACGCGAAGAACCUUACCUACUCUUGACAUCCAGAGAAGCCAGCGGAGACGCAGGUGUGCCUUCGGGAGCUCUGAGACAGGUGCUGCAUGGCUGUCGUCAGCUCGUGUUGUGAAAUGUUGGGUUAAGUCCCGCAACGAGCGCAACCCUUAUCCUUGUUUGCCAGCGAGUAAUGUCGGGAACUCCAGGGAGACUGCCGGUGAUAAACCGGAGGAAGGUGGGGACGACGUCAAGUCAUCAUGGCCCUUACGAGUAGGGCUACACACGUGCUACAAUGGCGCAUACAGAGGGCUGCAAACUUGCGAGAGUGAGCGAAUCCCAAAAAGUGCGUCGUAGUCCGGAUUGGAGUCUGCAACUCGACUCCAUGAAGUCGGAAUCGCUAGUAAUCGUAGAUCAGAAUGCUACGGUGAAUACGUUCCCGGGCCUUGUACACACCGCCCGUCACACCAUGGGAGUGGGCUGCAAAAGAAGUGGGUAGUUUAACCUUCGGGAGGACGCUCACCCCUUUGUGGGUCAUGACGGGGUGGACGC
rnacentral:rRNA from 1 species